rnacentral:misc_RNA from 1 species
CCAAUAGCGUAUAUUAAAGUUGCUGCAGUUAAAAAGCUCGUAGUUGAAUUUCGGGACUAAUAUGUCGGUCGUGCCUCGGUACGUACUGGUAUUUUUGGUUUCUACCUUCUGACGAACCUUGAUGUCAUUAAUUUGGUGUCUUGGGAAAUCAGGACUGUUACUUUGAAAAAAUUAGAGUGUUUAAAGCAGGCUCACGCUUGAAUACAUUAGCAUGGAAUAAUGAAAUAGGACGUUUGAUUCUAUUUUGUUGGUUUCUAGGAUCGACGUAAUGAUUAAUAGGGAUAGUUGGGGGCAUUAGUAUUCAAUUGUCAGAGGUGAAAUUCUUGGAUUUAUUGAAGACUAACUACUGCGAAAGCAUUUGCCAAGGAUGUUUUCAUUAAUCAAGAACGAAAGUUAGGGGAUCGAAGACGAUCAGAUACCGUCGUAGUCUUAACCAUAAACUAUGCCGACUAGGGAUCGGAUGAUGUUAAUUUUUUAAUGACUCAUUCGGCGCCUUACG